UCUGUUGCCCAGGGCAAGUGCCCUCAAAACCCUCCGUAAAGUACGGUCUUAGUUUGGUUAACGCAGUAAGUUGGAGGUUUGAAAGGUAGAAGAAUGGUAUAUGGCUAUUUAAUACACACUAAAAGUUACGACAAAUCAUUGUGAUCAGAAAACAAUUUUGAGCGUAGUAGUAUUAAUAGUACUGCAGACUGCAGUAUAAGUGCUAGUGUUAU